GAGAACGCUUGCGGCGGGCCUAACACAUGCAAGUCGAACGGGCAGGGCAACCUGUCAGUGGCGCACGGGUGCGUAACACGUGGGUAAUCAACCCUCCAGACUGGGACAACCCGGGGAAACUCGGGCUAAUACCGGAUGUGGCGCGCGGGUCCUCGGACCUGCGCGUGAAAGCUUCGCAAGGGGGCACUGGAGGACGAGCCCGCGGCCCAUCAGCUCGUUGGUGAGGUAACGGCUCACCAAGGCGAAGACGGGUAGCUGGUCUGAGAGGAUGAUCAGCCACACUGGAACUGAGACACGGUCCAGACUCCUACGGGAGGCAGCAGUGGGAAUAUUGCGCAAUGGGCGGAAGCCUGACGCAGCCACGCCGCGUGUGCGAUGAAGGUCUUCGGAUCGUAAGCACUGUGGGGGGAGAAGAAUCAAGCCGGUGAAGAGCCGGCCCUGACGGUAUCCCCUUAGCAAGCACCGGCUAACUCCGUGCCAGCAGCCGCGGUAA
rnacentral:rRNA from 1 species